rnacentral:lncRNA from 13 species
AUGGCGAGGGAGAGGAAGAGGGCUCGGAUAUCCGUGGAGCUCCGAGAGGGAAGGCAAUCGCUUUGCCAACCAUGGCAGGGCAUCUUGAAAGCCCUCGGAACCUCCCAGGCACUUCGGGCUCUUUUUGGUCCCACUAGGAGGAGGGGGACGGCGGCAGAAACUCGCAUUGCCUACUGGAUCAAGGACAGACAGCCCACCAACCACGACAGCACCAUACUGGAACUUCAAAAAGUUCUGAAAACAUGUUGGUUCGUUUGUUGGAGUAUUUUUCAACUCAAAUUCCUUUUUUUUUUUUUUUUUGCACACUUUUUGUCUGCAGAGAAACCUUAAAAUGUUCUACCUUUUCCUUGAAACCUCCUCCCACUCCUUAGUUCACGUUGAUUUUUCUUUAAAUGUUUUUCAGCAAAUAAUCAGAAAUGCACAAUUAGUGCUUGGUGGUUCUCAAAUUAUUUCACGCGCGUGGUAGUUUUGAUUUUUGCUUUUCCGGUGAGGCUGUACCUUUUAUGCUUAGGCAGAUAUGAUGGCUUUCAAAAAUAGCUAUGGGGUGGAAAAUGGGAGUGACUGCAAAUGAGCAAGGAGCAGUCACUCCCAGUUAUCUUUUAGAGAUAACGUGUUAUCUUUUAGAGAUAGCGACAUUUCAUUAUCUUUUAGAGAUAACGAAAAUGUCCUAAUUUAGAUUGUGGUGAGAGUUCCACACAACUCUAUAAAUUACUAAAAACCGUUGAAUUUGUACUUGAAAAGGGAGAACUUUAUGAAAUAUAAAUUGUAACUCAAAGAAGCUCUUAAAAUGCCUAUGGAAUAAUAAGUAAAGACUAGUGGGGACUUGAUCUAUUUUGUGGGGAGACUAGCAGGAAAGUAAGACAUAGUGAACUUUGGACAGGCCCCUCUGAGCCUUCUUUUCGACUAUACUUUGUCCUCGGGCCCUGUCCUUCGCCUGCCUAGCCCAGUUUAGCAAGAAUCCUGCUAUGCAUUUUCCCAACUCUUGUUACCUGAUCGCCUUGUCCUGCCUUGAGCAAGGAAUCCGGUUUAGUCAGUUGAGCAAGAAUCCCCCUACCCUUGAUGUAUCUCUCCACUUCGAAAUUUUCUAUCAACUGGCUUCCUCACUCUGCUGCUUGACUGUAAAGCCACAGUUGUCCUAGUUGUUUUUAGAUUAAGUUUAGUUCUAUACUAAAGUCUCUUUUCCCCUAUUACUUUUGAGUAAUAGUAGUACUCAAAAUAUGUCUUUACAGCUUUUGGCUAGUGUCUGACUCUGCUUCCCUUUGGCAAAAGGCACUCUCAGACAGUGCUUCUACUAGUAUAUAUUAGCCUGACCUGCUGGGGUACAAAAAGACAACCAAUUGACCUGGUGCAGUGGCUCACGUGCGUAAUCCCAGAACUCUGGGAGGCCAAGGUGGGUGGAUUGCAUGAGGUCAGGAGUUAGAGAUGAGCCUGGCCAACAUAGUGAAACCCCAUCUCUACUAAAAAUAAAAAAUUACUUGGGCAUGGUGGUGUGGGCCUA